ensembl:lncRNA
AAACAACCUCCGCGCGGAAGAGGCCAAGCACAGCAGGAGCCCAGCUCAGCGAAGCUCCAGCGCUAGAAGCGGAAGGCAAAGAAACCCAGCGCAGGGGAAGGCCCAUCGUGCUGGAAACCCGGACAGCGAAAAACGAACUCAGCAGAAAGCUCAUGCGGCCCAGUCUCAGAUUCCAGAAGACCUCCAGUUAAGGACCCAAGAGCCUCAAGGUCAAGCUCCAAGCCUACCCUCACGAUGGUUCAAGAGAACUGAAGCCGCCCACUCUAGGAAGCCUGCCUGUCACAGAUAACCAUCACGGGGCUGGAGCCAAGGGUGCAACUGGAUGUGGCAGGUCAUCCAGAGGACCCAAGACAUGGUGGUUACUAGUAGACUUCCCACAGUAGUUCUUCAUUCCAUGUGGACUCCUUCAAGGGCAGUGAGCAUCACAGCUUCCCUUGAACUUCGUCUGGAAAAACAAAUGCUGUUCAAGGACACUGAAAGAACCCUGAUGUUGAAAAUCAGAUCUGUAUUGUGAGCAAUGCUUAGAAAUCCGUGAGUUGAAGCAUAGUAUUAUGCCUAUCAUCCUUGUAUUUCCCUCAGUGAAAUAUUUUGAGAAAAGCUCUUCAUUCAUGUUGUAGGUUCAUGAAGAAGCUAAAUAGCAUUAAUCCUUUACAUUUACAACUGUGAAUGUAAAUCUCCUGUGAAUCCUAUGUGACAACCGCACAUACCAACAUGAUUUAUUAGUAUUAAUAUUUUUAGUCCUAUUGUAUGUCAACUAAAAAAAUCUGUAUGUAAUUGUACAUGAAGUCAAAACAUUAAAUCAGUGCAAAUACAAAAUAUUCCAUCCUUUGAGAAAGGGAGCAAAAAAUCUAUGUGCUUUGCCUAUUGCAUUUUUAUGUAUUAGAUCCUUAAGUAUUUUAUUCACCACACCCAACUGAAUGAUUCACAAAUCUUCAGAGAAGAAAGGAUCACUUCUCUUUAACAAUGAGUAGUUUGACUCAUCUCAAAGCAAAGUCCUAAGUGAGUCUAAUUUUGUGUGAGACCAUGAAAACUCAGUGUUUUUAUUAUGCUUGUGCUUAUGAUGGGAGGUCUGAGAAGGCACUUCUGAAGGUUUCUUCAUACCAGUCGUUCUCAUAUUUAUCGAGUCUUUAAAGGUUGACUUACUGAGGUGUUACUUCUACACUUGUACUGGGCUGAGUAGCAACAUGCCCUUUCUCCCUAAGUGCAGUACAAGUCUUUCUAACCUGUUUGUCUUCUGUCCUCUGGAGCAUGUAUCGCUUGAACUCACCACAGCCUAGUAGAUGGAAAUCGUCAGGAUAUUCUGGAAACCCUUUUUAUUGCAGUCUGUUCAGGAGGUUACGACUGCUGCAGAUACACAUAUCGGCCUUCGGUUCUAUCACUAGUAUUGCAAGUAAAAAAAAUUAAUUAGAG